rnacentral:lncRNA from 1 species
GCGUCUUCAGUGGGGAGAUGUAAAAGUCCUCCUUUUUGCGUGCCUCUUUCAUUCUGCGACACUUCAUUGAGAGUCAUCUCUUCAAUUAAGUUGUACGCCUGAUCCUCUGUCUUUCUAUUAAUGCUACCUCCAGUAGAGGCAUCUAUCAUCAUUUUGGUCUGAGCGCGUAAACCUCCAAGGAACGCUAGCAAGUAUGAAGCUUUAUCAAACCCAUGAACUGGGGUUGCUCUGAACAAUCCUUUGAAUCUAUCCCAAGCUUGCCC